AGUGAACGCUGGCGGUAGGCCUAACACAUGCAAGUCGAACGGCAGCACAGUAAGAGCUUGCUCUUACGGGUGGCGAGUGGCGGACGGGUGAGGAAUACAUCGGAAUCUACUUUUUCGUGGGGGAUAACGUAGGGAAACUUACGCUAAUACCGCAUACGACCUACGGGUGAAAGCAGGGGAUCUUCGGACCUUGCGCGAUUGAAUGAGCCGAUGUCGGAUUAGCUAGUUGGCGGGGUAAAGGCCCACCAAGGCGACGAUCCGUAGCUGGUCUGAGAGGAUGAUCAGCCACACUGGAACUGAGACACGGUCCAGACUCCUACGGGAGGCAGCAGUGGGGAAUAUUGGACAAUGGGCGCAAGCCUGAUCCAGCCAUACCGCGUGGGUGAAGAAGGCCUUCGGGUUGUAAAGCCCUUUUGUUGGGAAAGAAAAGCAGAAGGUUAAUACCCCGCUGCUCUGACGGUACCCAAAGAAUAAGCACCGGCUAACUUCGUG
rnacentral:rRNA from 1 species